UGUGUGGCCAAAUUUAAUUGGUCCAACACAUGUGUGGACCAUAGGGACAUGGAGAUAUUUUAGUGGGAACUUAAAAAUAUGACCUCUAAGUCAUUUCUCUUCAUUUCUACACUUAGAAUAAAAAUUAAGAAGGAGGAGAACAACAACUCCAACCUCACGGCUAAGAGGAGAGAAAAACAAGAUCAUCUUUUUAGCUCCUCUAAAAUUAUUCCAUUGAUGUAAACCCACUAUAUUGAGGUCCCUAAGUAGCGUGGAAGCAUCGUUGGAGCGAUCAACCCAUUAUUUUCAUCUUUUGGAAACCCUAGGCUAUUGGAAAGUUGAAGAAGGAAGAUCGUGGGCAGCCCGAAUCAUAGUUUGGACUUAGCUUGAGUUGGAUCAUAUUGGAGAGCGUUUGAGGUACAGACGCACAGCCUGGUGAUCCACCUGUUUAGGACACCCUUUCUGCUAUUCGGAGUGCUCCUCUCUUUCCGGAGCUUAUACUUUUGGUAUAUAUAUUUAUUAGUGCAUUUGUAUAUAUUCGUUCAUGGGUACGGCGGGGCCCUGUCCCGUCAUAUGAUUAUGUCGGUCUGUUUAGAGGUCUGUGGACAUG